rnacentral:rRNA from 1 species
AUUGAACGCUGGCGGCAUGCCUUACACAUGCAAGUCGAACGGCAGCACGGGAGCAAUCCUGGUGGCGAGUGGCGAACGGGUGAGUAAAGUAUCGGAACGUGCCCAGUCGUGGGGGAUAACGUAGCGAAAGUUACGCUAAUACCGCAUACGAUCUAUGGAUGAAAGCGGGGGAUCGCAAGACCUCGCGCGAUUGGAGUGGCCGAUAUCAGAUUAGGUAGUUGGUGGGGUAAAGGCUCACCAAGCCGACGAUCUGUAGCUGGUCUGAGAGGACGGCCAGCCACACUGGGACUGAGACACGGCCCAGACUCCUACGGGAGGCAGCAGUGGGGAAUUUUGGACAAUGGGCGAAAGCCUGAUCCAGCCAUGCCGCGUGCAGGAUGAAGGCCUUCGGGUUGUAAACUGCUUUUGUACGGAACGAAGAGGUUUGGCCUAAUAAGCUGAGCUCAUGACGGUACCGUAAGAAUAAGCACCGGCUAACUACGUGCCAGCCGCCGCCGUAA